rnacentral:lncRNA from 1 species
GGUCAAGGGCCAGGGCCACGGCAAUAGCCCAUCAUCCGAAGGCCCACACACCAUCCGCACAAAACAAGCCCGGCUCGUCCAAACCUUAAGGUCGGGCUCCACCUGGAUUUCUCAUCCAGGUCGGCCCGGCCUGCCUAGCCUCUCAUAUAGGUCCCCUUUUGGGCUCGGUUCUCAUCUCAUCUCUCGGCCCAGCCCAGAACUAGAAAGGAGUUCAGCCCCUUCGCCUUGUGGGACCAUCCGCAUGCACACCCGGGGAGAAUCAGGGGCCGUUAUGCAUGGGACAGAGAUAUGAUUCCCUCGUACGUCCGUAUCAACGUAGCAGGGA